UCCUUAGUAGCUCAGUGGUAGAGCGGUCAGUUGUUAACUUACCGGUUGUAGGUUCGAAUCCUACUUAGGGAG
rnacentral:tRNA from 1 species